rnacentral:rRNA from 1 species
GGGGGGGACUANAGGGGGCCNGGGUGGGGGGGGCCCCCCCCGGGGGGGGGGGGCCCCCCGCCCCCGCCGNGGGGGGGGGGGGUGUGGGGUGGGGGUGUUUUANACACAACACNAAACUCUCUUAUUUUUUCACGGGGGGCCCACCGGGGGGGGUUUCUGGGGGGGGCGCACGGGGNCCCCCCCGCCGUGGGGGGGGGGGGGGGCCGGCCCCCCCCCCCCCNCGNCGGCAACAGGCGCGGGGGCCCCCCGGNAGCGACACCCC